CUCAGAACGAACGCUGGCGGCGCGUUUUAAGCAUGCAAGUCGAACGGGAUCAUUCCUUCGGGGAUGUGAGAGUGGCGAACGGGUGAGUAACACGUAGGUGAUCUACCGCUUGGCGGGGGAUAGCCCAUGGAAACAUGGGGUAAUACCGCAUACGACCGAUCUGCUGUGGCGGGUUGGGGAAAGGCGCUUAGGCGUCACCGAGCGAUGAGCCUGCGGCUGAUUAGCUGGUUGGUAGGGUAACGGCCUACCAAGGCAACGAUCAGUAGCCGGCCUGAGAGGGUGAUCGGCCACACUGGGACUGAGAUACGGCCCAGACAACUACGGUUGGCAGCAGCUAAGAAUCUUCCGCAAUGGACGAAAGUCUGACGGAGCGACGCCGCGUGGGCGAUGAAGGCCGUGAGGUUGUAAAGCCCUUUUCUAUCGGAGGAAUAAGCCUGGGAGGGAAUGCCCGGGUGAUGACGGUACGGUAGGAAUAAGCCCCGGCUAACUCCGUGCCAGCAGCCGCGGUAAUACGGAGGAUGCAAGCGUUAUCCGGAUUCAUUGGGUUUAAAGGGUGCGCAGGCGGUGUAUUAAGUCAGUGGUGAAAUGCUGCGGCUCAACCGUAGACUUGCCAUUGAUACUGGUACACUUGAAUGUAGUUGAGGUAGGCGGAAUGUGUAAUGUAGCGGUGAAAUGCUUAGAUAUUACACAGAACACCGAUUGCGAAGGCAGCUUACUAAACUAUGAUUGACGCUGAGGCACGAAAGCGUGGGGAGCGAACAGGAUUAGAUACCCUGGUAGUCCACGCUGUAAACUAUGAUCACUGGUUGUUGGCAAUAUACCGUCAGCGACUGAGCGAAAGCAUUAAGUGAUCCACCUGGGGAGUACGUCGGCAACGAUGAAACUCAAAGGAAUUGACGGGGGCCCGCACAAGCGGAGGAACAUGUGGUUUAAUUCGAUGAUACGCGAGGAACCUUACCUGGGCUUAAAUGUAGAGUGCAUAGAGUGGAAACAUUCUUUUCCUUCGGGACUCUUUACAAGGUGCUGCAUGGUUGUCGUCAGCUCGUGCCGUGAGGUGUCGGGUUAAGUCCCAUAACGAGCGCAACCCUUGUCGUUAGUUGCUAGCAGGUCAAGCUGAGGACUCUAACGAGACUGCCGGUGUAAACCGAGAGGAAGGUGGGGAUGACGUCAAAUCAGCACGGCCCUUAUGUCCAGGGCUACACACGUGUUACAAUGGCCAGUACAAGGAGCAGCCACCUGGCAACAGGGCGCUAAUCUCAAAAGCUGGUCACAGUUCGGAUCGGAGUCUGCAACUCGACUUCGUGAAGGUGGAUUCGCUAGUAAUCGCGCAUCAGCCACGGCGCGGUGAUACGUUCCCGGGCCUUGUACACACCGCCCGUCAAGCCAUGGAAGCUGGGGGUACAUGAAG
rnacentral:rRNA from 1 species